GUCACAUAUGGCUUCUGGACUUAAUAAGUAAGUUCCCUGGCUAUCUCUGUGUGGCAGAUUCUACCUACAUUGGCAGCCCCUCUGUAUCCAACCUGACUCUUCUGGAUCAAGUUUAAGAUUUGCCUCAACAAAGGAAGCAUCAUGUUAC